CCUACGGGAGGCUGCAGUGGGGAAUAUUGCUCAAUGGGGGAAACCCUGAACCAGCAACGCCGCGUGAAUGAUGAAUGUUUUCGGAUUUUAAACUCCUUUUUUUAUGGAAGUUAAUGACGGUAUCUAAAUAAUAAUCACCGUCUCACUCCGUUCCAGCAGCCGCGGUAAUACGCAGGGUGCAAGCGUUACCCGGAAUCACUGGGCGUAAGGCGAGCGUAGGCGGGUUAACAAGUCAGAUGUGAAAUCCUAUGGCUUAACCCUAGAACUUCAUUUGAUACUGUUAUUCUUGAGUACUGGAGAGGUAGGCGGAAUUCGUGGUGUAGCGGUAAAAUCCGUAGAUAUCAAGAGGAACACCGAUUGCGAAGGCGACCUGCUAGACCAUAACUGACGCUGAUGCGCGAAAGCGUGGGGAGCAAACAGGAUUAGAUACCCGAGUAGUC
rnacentral:rRNA from 1 species